AGACGGAGGUGGCAAACGUUGCUCGGAAUCACUGGGCUUAAAGGGCGUGUAGGCGGUCAUCUAAGUCGGGUGUGAAAUCCCCCGGCCUAACCGAGGAACUGCAUCCGAAACUGGUUGACUAGAGUGCGGGAGGGGCAAGUGGAACUCCAGGUGUAGCGGUGAAAUGCGUAGAUAUCUGGAGGAACGCCGGUGGCGAAAGCGACUUGCUGGACCGCAACUGACGCUGAGGCGCGAAAGCUAGGGGAGCGAACGGGAUUAGAAACCCCAGUAGUCC
rnacentral:rRNA from 1 species